rnacentral:rRNA from 1 species
GAUGAACGCUGGCGGCGUGCCUAAUACAUGCAAGUCGAGCGAACAGACGAGGAGCUUGCUCCUCUGACGUUAGCGGCGGACGGGUGAGUAACACGUGGAUAACCUACCUAUAAGACUGGGAUAACUUCGGGAAACCGGAGCUAAUACCGGAUAAUAUAUUGAACCGCAUGGUUCAAUAGUGAAAGACGGUUUUGCUGUCACUUAUAGAUGGAUCCGCGCCGCAUUAGCUAGUUGGUAAGGUAACGGCUUACCAAGGCAACGAUGCGUAGCCGACCUGAGGGGGUGAUCGGCCACACUGGAACUGAGAAACGGUCCAGACUCCUACGGGAGGCAGCAGUAGGGAAUCUUCCGCAAUGGGCGAAAGCCUGACGGAGCAACGCCGCGUGGUUGAUGAAGGUCUUCGGAUCGUAAAACUCUGUUAUUAGGGAGGAACAAAUGUGUAAGUAACUAUGCACGUCUUGACGGUACCUAAUCAGAAAGCCACGGCUAACUACGUG